ensembl:lncRNA
AUUUGUUGUUUCUAUGUCUUAUGAAUUUGUUGUUCGCAAAUUUCUGUGAAAAUAGCCUAAAUUAUUUUUGAUCUUCGGGCAAUAGAGAGAGCAGAGUACAGUAUAUUGAAAUUCUGUUGGUCGAAUAGCAGAUUAUUUUAACCACUUCCUGUCUAGGCUUGAUAAACCAGUCUACUUGUUACCUGAAGGGCGUGGUUAUAUUGGGGCCAGUGAAUCUGCCGUUUACUCACCUUAUUCGUAACAACGCUCACCUGCUCUCACUUUGUCUCUUUCCCAUUGCUCUCACACACAAAAACACGUCCCAGAGAGGAGAAACUAUCAGGAGAGAAGAAUCAUGUCGGUGGAAGUCCACAUAGAAUAUUGUAGUGGAUGAGGGUACGAGUCUUGCUAUCAGGACCUAGCAUCUGCCAUCAAGCGGAACGUUCCUGAUGUGACGGUGACGGGAACCACGGGGCGGCGCUGUAAGUGUCACACACACACACACACACACACAGCUUGAAGUUACCCUGUCAGAUAGUGACCUCACAGCUGUGCUUCACACACAGAACGACGUUACAGAUCUCAUCGGACGUCAACUACACUCUGAUGGUCCAUCCAUUAGAUUUGAUCAAUACCUCAGUAGAUUAUGUUAUAUUCUAAUGAUCAUGGUUUGUCCCACAGCCAGUUUCGAGGUAACAGUGAAUGGUAAACUGGCCUACUCUAAACUGGAGGCAGGAGGAUUCCCAGACACCAAGGAGAUGGUGGCGAUGGUGAAGGAGGUGAGCCGUGGAGGAAAGGUGGAGAAAGUGAAGAAGAAGGAUAAUAAGUGUUUUCUCCAAUAGAUGAGUGGUUAUUGAGAGGAGAGUGUUUUUUUAAGAUCCUGGGUCCUGAACUGAUUCUAUUAAUGAUUGUUCACAAUGAAACUAGGGAUGUGAACAUGAUGAAGUCGACAGUCAUUUCAACUCUGUGAUCUGAGGGAAAUACUCUUAUCCUGUGUCUCUGUGUUACACUGUCAUGUCUUAUGUUAUUCCUUGUCUGUUUUUCUUUCCUUAUACAGACCAAGAUAUUAUAGACUGACGAGCAUUUAGUUUUGCAUUCUAGAAAUAUUGUACUCAAUGUAGACCUCUGCAGUUGUAUAGGCUGUACGUGUAUUUUUAAAUGAUCAAAUAAAUUCUAGGAAUCAAUUAGUAUUGAGUUUGUGUGUGGGGAGGGUGCUGUUGGACAUUUACAAUAAUGCUGUUGGACAUUUACAAUAAUGCUGUUGGACAUUUACAAUAAAGCUGUUGGACAUUUACAAUAAAGCUGUUGGACAUUUACAAUAAUGCUGUUGGACAUUUACAAUAAAGCUGUUGGACAUUUACAAUAAUGCUGUUGGACAUUUACAAUAAAGCUGUUGGACAUUUACAAUAAAGCUGUUGGACAUUUACAAUAAAGCUGUUGGACAUUUACAAUAAUGCUGUUGGACAUUUACAAUAAAGCUGUUGGACAUUUACAAUAAAGCUGUUGGACAUUUACAAUAAUGCUGUUGGACAUUUAC